CUUUGAAAAGAGAGUGCAAGAGAACGUGAAAUCGAUAUAAUGGAAGCGAAUGAAGUCGACGUAUCUAACACGUAUUCAGUUGUUGGGCCGGGCGAUUGCUUUUACUGGUGUUCCGCAAGGUCACCGUGGAGGUAUUGUCGUCUGGUUGAGCAAUGCAUUUGCGUGUAGAGUGCGAUGAGACGGUCGGUGUCGUCGGCGGAAGCUUGACCAGAGGACGUCCUCGGACGAAACCCGGCCAUGUGGAUGCCCGAAUGAUGCUGUCUGAGCAAUUGGUGGACUGGUCUGUCGAUUUUUCGUACGAUCAUGUAUGCCCCCUCGGUUCUACGCAUGCGUAUGGCCUUUGAGGUGUGCGUGGUUGGGCGACGAAUCACUGUCCCCAUCUCGUUGUAUAGUCGGUCACUCAUUCGACCCGUCUUGAAACACGGACCAAGGAGUUUAUAGUACACGCGAGUCAUUGAGUUCCACGAACCUCAAAGGCGUAAUGAAAGUGAAACUAUCAAUAGUUGGAAUGCGAUCGGUGAAUUGUUUCGCGACGUUCGCCGAGCAGCGUUGCCCCAUUCCUGGAGCUUGCUCUGGUGUGGAGGUUGAGCGUGUGCAAUGAGACCCGAAAGAUGGUGAACUAUGCCUGAACAGGAUGAAGCCAGAGGAAACUCUGGUGGAAGUCCGAAGCGGUUCUGACGUGCAAAUCGAUCGUCUGAUUUUGGUAUAGGGGCGAAAGACUA
rnacentral:rRNA from 1 species